rnacentral:rRNA from 1 species
GUCCUGGCAGUAAACGGUGCACGUUUGGUGUGGGGAUUCGACCCCUUCCGCGCCGGAGCUAACGCGUUAAACGUGCCGCCUGGGGAGUACGGUCGCAAGAUUAAAACUCAAAGAAAUUGACGGGGCCCGCACAAGCGGUGGAGUAUGUGGCUUAAUUCGAUGCAACGCGAAGAACCUUACCAGGCCUUGACAUGCAUUUCUAAGCGGGUGAAAAGCCCGUGAGUCUCGAAAGAGAUAACUUGCACAGGUGCUGCAUGGCUGUCGU